rnacentral:rRNA from 1 species
UACGUAGGUGGCAAGCGUUGUCCGGAUUUACUGGGCGUAAAGAGCGCGCAGGCGGUCGUUCAAGUCGCGUGUGAAAGCCCCCGGCUCAACUGGGGAGGGUCACGCGAUACUGAUCGACUCGAAGGCAGGAGAGGGUAGUGGAAUUCCCGGUGUAGUGGUGAAAUGCGUAGAUAUCGGGAGGAACACCAGUGGCGAAGGCGACUACCUGGCUGUUCUUGACGCUGAGGCGCGAAAGCUAGGGGAGC